GGGCAUGCCUAGUACGGCGAGUGAGCGGCAACAGCUCAAAUUUGAAAUCUGGGUCUCUUAUGAGAUCCCGAAUUGUAAUUUGCAGAGGAAACUUUGGUGCAGUCUGGGUCUAAGUUCCUUGGAACAGGACAUCACAGAGGGUGAGRAUCCCGUAUGUGGCUUAAGACAGGUACCGUGUAAAGUUCCUUCAAUGAGUCGAGUUGUUUGGGAAUGCAGCUCAAAAUGGGAGGUAAAUUUCUUCUAAAGCUAAAUAUUGGCCAGAGACCGAUAGCGAACAAGUAGAGUGAUCGAAAGAUGAAAAGCACUUUGGAAAGAGAGUUAAACAGUAUGUGAAAUUGCUGAAAGGGAAGCGCUUGCAAUCAGACUUGUGUGUGGCUGUUCAGCCUGGCUUUUUGUCAGGUGUAUUCAGUUGCUAACAGGCCAGCAUCAGUUUGGAUGGCAGGAAAAAGACUCAUUGAACGUAGCUCCAUUUCGUCAGAUUUAGAGUGUUAUAGCUUUGGGUGUCAUGCUGUCAAUCCGGACUGAGGAUCGCGUCCUUGUGGCUCGGAUGCUGGCGUAAUGGUUGUAAGCGGCCCGUCUUGAAACACGGACCAAGGAGUCUAACAUCUGUGCGAGUGUUUGGGUGUCAAGCCCACACGCGUAAUGAAAGUGAACGGAGGUGGGAACCCCCUCGGGGAUGCACCAUCGACCGAUCCUGAUGUCUCGGAUGGAUGAGUAAGGACACGUCU
rnacentral:rRNA from 1 species